CCCUCCAGAAAACCCUCCAGAAAAGGUAAUGAUACUUUGGUCCCUCUAUUUGCCCAAUUCCUUUUUAUUGGGUUCAUGCUAAUUCAGCUGUUGUGGCAGUUAUGUUAAAUAACCGUAUCUUGGUAGAAAUAGUAUAUGUAUAUGAAUUUGAUGUGAGAAACACGGCAAAUUUGGUUGCUGUUUGAUGAUAUAUAAUGGAUGGUCAGAAAAUUUUGUCCAAAUGUAUGACUCGCAGGAUAAAUACAAUGACAACAUACAACACGUAAAUCCCCCAGUUUCUUUAUAUUCAUUCCCUCCCAGCUCCCGAUUCUUUUUUUUUUAGGAUUUUAGUUUUUCUAGGGUUUGGGUGUUUAUUACUUCAAACAUCUAUCUCACCAUCAGUGUCAUAUCUGAAAAUCAGAUCGCCAAUGCGGAUUUGGCUGUGAAAGAUGCACGUCUAGCUUCUUUUCCUCCUGUAAAGACUCCGAUUGCAGUACUUUUAGUUCUUGAAAGGCUUACAUCAAAUGUUAGGGAGCGUGUUGAUUGUUUGAGACGGAUUCAGGCUGAACAUGAUAAGAUAAAAACCAAUUUUUUUGAGGAGAUAGCAAAACUUGAAGACGAUUUCCAGAAGAAGUAUGAACCACUUUACAAUAAGAGCUCUGAAAGUGUUGUUUGUUAAAGAGCUCUGAAAGUGUGAAUGGAGAGGCUGAGGCUGAUAAAGAAGUAGAUAAAGAUGCACAUGGUAUUUUUGGAGAAAUAAGCUUUUGCGGCGAAAUUGGCUAGAAAUAAGCUUUUGCGGCGAAAU